UACAGAGGGGGCAAGCGUUGUUCGGAAUUACUGGGCGUAAAGGGCGCGUAGGCGGCCUGUUAAGUCGGACGUGAAAUCCCCGGGCUCAACCCGGGAACUGCGUCCGAUACUGGCAGGCUUGAAUCCGGGAGAGGGAUGUGGAAUUCCAGGUGUAGCGGUGAAAUGCGUAGAUAUCAGGAGGAACACCUGUGGCGAAAGCGGCGCACUGGACCACAACUGACGCUGAGGCGCGAAAGCUAGGGGAGCAAACAGG
rnacentral:rRNA from 1 species